AUUUUCAGGGAGGGCUCUGUUCUUUGACAGAAAGGAGAAAAAAAACAGGGCACGAGAGAGAGAGAGAAAGAGAGAGAGAGAGAGAGAGCUCCAUUCGAGAGCAGAGAUAGGACGGACGAUAGAGGGGUAGAGAGGAUAGCCGGGAGCUCGGGAUGAAACUCAUGCAAGAGAGGGUCGAGUUUCAGCUCUGUUCACGGGAAGAAGAAUAGAGCAGACCCGAUUAGAGAAACAACGCGAGGGAGAAACGACGGCAGAGCAAGAUCGAAGAAGAAGAAGAAGAGUAAAAGGAAUGAUAGGUUCGGGGAGUCUUCCAACCUAGCUUGCAUUCGAGUAACGGGGAUCGCGGAGACUGAAUCCUAGCACUAAAAGGGUCGAUCCAAUGAGCUCUAUUUCUUGGAAUUGUCGAUAAGCUCCCAAUUGUGCGGAUGAACCACUUUUUGAUAUCGGGGAUCAGCUCGAAGAACUAGGUAGGAAUCCUUAGUUAGUUGAUAGAUAUUCUUCUGUAUAGAAGGGACUUGAAAAUGUUACGACCUGAAAAUUUUGUUUAGUUGUAUCACUGAUGUGAGAGUGAAAAAGAAAUUUCCGAAAAAGUGUGUCUACAUAUUAGAGUUAAUGGAUUGGUUAUAUACUUCGGAAAUUUAUUGGAAAUCAGGUUUCUAUGUGAACAGUUAUUAUAUGAUAAUGGAUUCGAGGAAAUAUAGCAAAAAUUUUAUUGUAA